UGGGGAAUAUUGGACAAUGGGCGAAAGCCUGAUCCAGCCAUGCCGCGUGUGUGAAGAAGGUCUUCGGAUUGUAAAGCACUUUAAGUUGGGAGGAAGGGCAUUAACCUAAUACGUUAGUGUUUUGACGUUACCGACAGAAUAAGCACCGGCUAACUCUGUGCCAGCAGCCGCGGUAAUACAGAGGGUGCAAGCGUUAAUCGGAAUUACUGGGCGUAAAGCGCGCGUAGUUGGUUUGUUAAGUUGGAUGUGAAAUCCCCGGGCUCAACCUGGGAACUGCAUUCAAAACUGACUGACUAGAGUAUGGUAGAGGGUGGUGGAAUUUCCUGUGUAGCGGUGAAAUGCGUAGAUAUAGGAAGGAACACCAGUGGCGAAGGCGACCACCUGGACUAAUACUGACACUGAGGUGCGAAAGCUUGGGGAGCAAACA
rnacentral:rRNA from 1 species